GCUCCAGUGGCGGGAUGUGAUUCACCAGCAAGGAGGGACGCCAAUAAGGCUGAAUUUUAAAUGUCUAAAUAUAUAGUCUGCCUAGGUAUGGAGAAAUACAGCAUCAAUGUGUCAUCAGUGGGCAUUCAACAUUCAGUCCCAAAAACCCACUGCCCCUCACUAUGACAUUUUUCUGUGUUGGCAGAAACAGGUUCAAUAUCUGUCAGCUAAAAGAACCUGGAUUGUGAGCAUCAGGACUCAGGGCAGAAGAGAAUUGCAAGUAAAGAGUGAGAUGCCAGAAACCAUCCGGCCACUUUCAUCCAAUCACUUCCCACCACUUGCUCAUCGAGGUGGUGUGUGCUCCCAGACAGCCACCUGCUCAACUUUCCACUGCGUGGAAUCCCAGCUCCUUAAUCAAAACGAAACAAAAGGAUGUCUCUCUUCGGGGUGAUGAUACGAUGCACUUUCCUGCGCUCCGAGGUACCACCACGGAGAGAUGGGCAUCCUGGCGCCAGAGUGUCCUCUGAGGCUGGGCUGCCUGGGUCAGAAAGAGACAUCAGAGAUUAUAUAAUCAAGUCCUACGUUGGAUAGAGAAGAAAGCCUGAAGCCCAGAGCAGACUCGAGACUUGCCAAGGUCAUAUGAGUUUUUAAUGAACAUUUCAUUUGUGUAAAUAAAGAGGCAGCGCACAACAAGAACCACUCAUCAAAAGUCUGAUAUUUUCCUUAGAAAUAAAGACAAACAUUGUGCCUCUUAAAUGCGGUGGGAGUUGAAGGAUGGUCAAAGGUUUGUUCUCUAGGCUCUAGCGUUCUGGGGCACCAGAGACCUUUACUGGAACGGGGUAUUUACAGUUCUGGACUUUGGCUUGUUCCUGCUUCAACAUAGACUUCACCAGAUGUGAACCAGGAAACAAUGUACCCUGCGCAUCAUUCACACUGGGACCAUGUUCUCUCCAAGAAACUUUGUUUCCAGGAAGGGACUUCCCAACCCUAUACCUGUUAGCUCAGUGCUCUAGCCCUGAACUAUGUCAGCCACCAAAAAGAAAAUUCUUCCCCAUGGUCCACUGAACCACUCAAGCCUCCUGGAGAGUUGCAAAAUCUAAACAAACAGGUUGUGUUUUCAGUUUGUCUACUUUAAAACCAAACUUCACCCACGUGAAACUGGCAGGCAUGCUUCAAAUGGCGAAGGCUUCUAGGUGCUUUCUGAGCCGCUUCUGACUCACAUCCUAGCCACCUAUUUAUUCUGAGACAGGAGGACUCUUUUUUUUUUUUUCUUCAAUGUAACCAACUGGUUCUUGCCAUUUCCCCAUUGUUUCUCC
rnacentral:lncRNA from 1 species